AUGCUCUCUAGGGCGGCCCGCUGUGGGCACAUCGCUCCUGUGGUCUCCCAUUUACUUCCGGAAGGUGUCUCCCAUCUACAAUAUGUGGACGAUACAAUCAUCUUGGUGGAGUUGGAUGACGCCUGUAUUGCCAAUCUGAAAUUCAUCUUGUUGUGUUUCGAAGCCGUUUCGGGUAUUAAGAUUAAUUUCGCCAAGAGUGAAGUUCUGGUGACGGGUGUGGAUGGGGCGGAAGCCUUGCGGGUUACCAGGCUCCUUAACUGCUCUCUAGGCUCCUUCCCCUUCAAGUAUUUAGGUCUUCCUAUAUCUCCUGGAAUGCUUCAUGCGAAAGAUUUCGCUUCGGCGGUUGCUAAAGUGGGGAACAGGGUGCUCCCUUGGAGGGGUAGAUAUAAUACCAAUGCUGGCAAAGUGGCUCUAAUCAACUCUUGCUUAUCCUCUCUCCCUAUGUUUCUUAUGGGCUUUUAUCUUCUCACGAAUGGCGUGCAUGCUGGCUUCGACAAACAUAUGGGUGCCUUCUACUGGAACUCCGCUGAUAAGAAAAGGAAGUAUAGGCUGGUCAAGUGGCAACUUAUGUGUAAGCCUAAAAACCUUGGGGGGUUAGGCAUUAUUAAUACUCGGGUGAUGAAUAUCUGUUUGCUUAUCAAGUGGUGGUGGAAAAUU
rnacentral:rRNA from 1 species